AUACGAGGGGGGCUAGCGUUGCUCGGAAUCACUGGGCGUAAAGCGCACGUAGGCGGCUUUUUAAGUCAGGGGUGAAAUCCUGGAGCUCAACUCCAGAACUGCCCUUGAUACUGAGAGGCUUGAGUCCGGGAGAGGUGAGUGGAACUGCGAGUGUAGAGGUGAAAUUCGUAGAUAUUCGCAAGAACACCAGUGGCGAAGGCGGCUCACUGGCCCGGUACUGACGCUGAGGUGCGAAAGCGUGGGGAGCAAACA
rnacentral:rRNA from 1 species